rnacentral:snoRNA from 1 species
UCCAGCUGUAGGCAACAGCCUAGGUUGCAUUAAACCUAGGCACAUGUUACACUGCUGGGAGAAAAGCAGCUAAUAGCUGAUGGACAAC